rnacentral:rRNA from 1 species
AGGGAAUCUUCCGCAAUGGACGAAAGUCUGACGGAGCAACGCCGCGUGAGUGAUGAAGGCCUUCGGGUCGUAAAACUCUGUUGUUAGGGAAGAACAAGUACCGGAGUAACUGCCGGUACCUUGACGGCACCUAACCAGAAAGCCACGGCUAAUUACGUGCCAGCAGCCGCGGUAAUACGUAGGUGGCAAGCGUUGUCCGGAAUUAUUGGGCGUAAAGCGCGCGCAGGCGGUCCUUUAAGUCUGAUGUGAAAGCCCACGGCUCAACCGUGGAGGGUCAUUGGAAACUGGGGGACUUGAGUGCAGAAGAGGAAAGCGGAAUUCCACGUGUAGCGGUGAAAUGCGUAGAGAUGUGGAGGAACACCAGUGGCGAAGGCGACUCUCUGGGCUGUAACUGACGCUGAGGCGCGAAAGCGUGGGGAGCAAAC